rnacentral:rRNA from 1 species
GACGAACGCUGGCGGCGUGCUUAACACAUGCAAGUCGAACGGAAAGGCCCUGCUUUUGUGGGGUGCCCGAGUGGCGAACGGGUGAGUAACACGUGAGUAACCUGCCCUUGACUUUGGGAUAACUUCAGGAAACUGGGGCUAAUACCGGAUAGGAGCUCCUGCUGCAUGGUGGGGGGUGGAACGUUUCGGCGGUUGGGGAUGGACUCGCGGCUUAUCAGCUUGUUGGUGGGGUAGUGGCUUACCAAGGCUUUGACGGGUAGCCGGCCUGGGAGGGUGACCGGCCACAUUGGGACUGAGAUACGGCCCAGACUGCUACGGGAGGCAGCAGUGGGGAAUAUUGCACAAUGGGCGGAAGCCUGAUGCAGCAACGCCGCGUGCGGGAUGACGGCCUUCGGGUUGUAAACCGCUUUCGCCUGUGACGAAGCGUGAGUGACGGUAAUGGGUAAAGAAGCACCGGCUAACUACGUG